rnacentral:tRNA from 1 species
GGGGUUGUGGCUCAGUGGUAGAGCACUUGCCUGGCAUGUAUGAGGCCCUGGGUUCAAUCAUCAGCACCA